UGGGGAAUAUUGGACAAUGGGGGGAACCCUGAUCCAGCCAUGCCGCGUGUGUGAAGAAGGCCUUAUGGUUGUAAAGCACUUUAAGCGAGGAGGAGGGUACUGGUAUUAAUACUACCAGGUACUGGACGUUACUCGCAGAAUAAGCACCGGCUAACUCUGUGCCAGCAGCCGCGGUAAUACAGAGGGUGCGAGCGUUAAUCGGAUUUACUGGGCGUAAAGCGUGCGUAGGCGGCUAAUUGAGUCGGAUGUGAAAUCCCCGAGCUUAACUUGGGAAUUGCAUUCGAUACUGGUUAGCUAGAGUGUGGGAGAGGAUGGUAGAAUUCCAGGUGUAGCGGUGAAAUGCAUAGAGAUCUGGAGGAAUACCGAUAGCGAAGGCAGCCAUCUGGCCUAACACUGACGCUGAGGUACGAAAGCAUGGGGAGCAAACAGG
rnacentral:rRNA from 1 species